rnacentral:lncRNA from 1 species
UCAUUCCUUUAAAUUUGUCACACUGAAAAUGAAUCCACAAAGCUAAUUAGAAUUGCAUGACUUAAGUUGGCCGAUUCGUAGUGUUUAGUAGAAUUAGGCGAUUACUAGGCAUCAGAUAGAUUUCCCUUUAUUUGCUCAAUCGACGAUUAAACCUACAAAUUCAUCUUCCCUCUUUGUGCUUGUGGGAACAAUUGCGCACAGAAAUGCAAACAAAUUCAACAAAGAGAACCCUCACAUACCUCUCCAUCCGUCGAAGACGCCGACGGCCUCCCGUUCUCCGGUGCUGCGCAGCUACCCGGAUUUCUCGACCUCGUCGCCGUCAGGCUCCUUCUACAGUACAGCUCCGGCGUACCGGCGGCAUGGGUGAGUGGCCGCGCCGACUCGCCGCAAUUUCAGACGCUCGGCUGCUCGCCCGGCUCGGAAGCUCCGAUAAAUCCGGCGUGCCUCCUCCACCCCAUUGCUGCGGGAUACAGGGGAGUGGACGGGAUGGGGCUUUGCGCCCCCGGCCGCGGCGGCAGGUGGCGGCGGCGGAAGGCCGACCCAAACCAGGGGGUCGCAUGAAAAUAUUCGGAUCGCGAUUAAUAAUCGUGAUCCAAAAUAGGAGCAAAUUGUAAAGUAACGG